GGGACAGUGGCUUAGUGGUUAGCACUGUUGCCUCAGUCCAGGGCUGGGGGUUCGAAUCCCAUCUCUGCCC